GAGCGCCUGAGAGAGUUCCUUACAACACAGUUAGCGGACGCUUUCCCUGGCCGAGAGGCGCUUACUCUAUAGAGUAAACUUUGACCCCGGAGAGCCGGACCCGGUCAGCUGCCUCGAAGCCCCCUCGACGACGCUGGAAGCCCGACGGCCCUAGGAAGGCUGAAGUGAUGGAUUGCUCUGACCAUCGCCCUCUUUCGCCCGGUCCUCUGGCAGCCAACCACACACAUCGUGAUAUGACUGGCAGGGGUAACAGUGCUGCCUGGGGCCAAGAAACAGUAUCUUCCUGGCACCCUGAAGCUGGCACCCUAUUCCAGAGCCAGAGUGGAGUGAGCACCUGUGUUGGAAUGGGGCCACGUUUUACUGGUUGACAAAAUUCUGUGGCUAUUUAGCAAUUAAAAAUAGAACACACAGCAUAAAGACAACAACGUCCCCCAAAUAACAAUGAAACAUGAAACUACAAAAUCCUC